GAUCUUCAUUGUAAAGAGUUUCAAUGUUUUCCAUGCUUGUUCAAUGAACCAUAAACAAUGAAUACGCACCUGUUGAACGGUCAAAAAGACAAUAACACCAAAAGAGAGACGCCCAGGGUCUCUGCUAAUUGGCGUGAAUGUGCCUUAGGCAUGAGGACAGCAGAAUGUCCCUACUGUGAGACGCCUAAGACAGCGCUACAGGGAGACGGUAAGCACAGCUGAUUGCCCUCGCAGUGGCAGACCACGUGUAACAACAUCUGCAUAGGAUCGGUACAUCCGAAUAUCACACCUGCGGGACAGGUACAGGAUGGAUAC